UUUCAGAAUUGAAGUCAAGCUUUGAGCUCUCAAUUUUUUAAGACAAAGUUUAUCUCCCCUGCGGCAUGAAAUAUUUUCAUGAAACUAAGGCAAUAGAUGCCAUCAAACAGGGCAUCUGACGAGUGGAAUAUGUUUUCGAAGCGUACUUUGUUGGAAAGGUUUACGCACCCAAAACACCCAAAAAAAUCACUACCAAAUCUGUAGAGUUCUCUUCCUUCUUUUUUUUUGUUUUUGGUCCUCAUAAAAACCCAAUUUCUUCCCCAAAAAAAUUUAACGACACAAUUGGAGAGCUUUUCUCUUCUCGUUUUCGGCACAUCAAAUGACCAGUAAGUUAUUUUAUUCAUCAGCCCACUUUGUCGUAAGAAUGUCGUUACACAAAAAAUUUAUAAAGAAAAUCUAUAGAAAAGAAACAAGAUGUGGAGUUUAACUACAAUUUCUUGAAAAAUUCUAAUUGCAUAUUGGAAAAGGAAUAUUUUUUUAUGUUAAUUCAGUGAAAAAAGGAAAGGGGCAAGAAGCUUUCCUUCCUUUUAUUCACUCUUCUGUUUUACUUUUGUUUUCUUACAAAUGUCCGAUCCUUAUCUCUUUAGUGACAGGUGGAAACUGAAUUACUUGAGGGACAAGUUGUUGGUGAUUUUUGAGUCGCUUGAUGACAAACAAUAGCAUCCAAUCAAUCACUUCAAGGUUGCAGUUCAGCCCUUUCGCUACAGGUAUAGUUUUUCCGAUCUAUUUCAGCUGUUGGUUACUGUGUUACGAUCAGAAAAACAAAUUAGCGACAUUCGGUGCCUCAAACAAGGCAGGAAAAGCGAAGCGAAAUGAAGAAUUUAAUCAUCAAUUAUCUGAUAACCUGAUCACAGACACUUAAUUAUUACUUAUGUUACAGGCCUUUUAUUGUUAGAAAUGUUUUGGUCUACUUGUAUGAGACUCCCUUAUCUCGGUGUCACCUCAUUCUGGUUAUAGAUUGUCAGGUCAUGUAUACAAUAGACUCAUUUAAGCAAGACAUUCUUGAUUCUGUAACUGAAAUUCAUUGACAUA